AGAGUUUGAUCAUGGCUCAGAUUGAACGCUGGCGGUAGGCUUAACACAUGCAAGUCGUGCGAGAAAGUAUCUUCGGAUAUGAGUAGAGCGGCGGACGGGUGAGUAACGCGUAGGAAUCUACCUAGUAGAAGGGGAUAGCCCGGGGAAACCCGGAUUAAUACCGUAUACCUCCUUCGGGAGAAAGAAGGCCUCUCUUUGAAGCUUUCGCUAUUAGAUGAGCCUGCGUAAGAUUAGCUUGUUGGUGAGGUAAAGGCUCACCAAGGCGACGAUCUUUAGCUGGUCUGAGAGGACGAUCAGCCACAUUGGGACUGAGACACGGCCCAGACUCCUACGGGAGGCAGCAGUGGGGAAUAUUGGACAAUGGGCGCAAGCCUGAUCCAGCCAUACCGCGUGUGUGAAGAAGGCCUUCGGGUUGUAAAGCACUUUAAGCAGGGAGAAAAAGUUAUAAGUUAAUACCUUAUAACCGUGAUGUUACCUGCAGAAUAAGCACCGGCUAAUUCCGUGCCAGCAGCCGCGGUAAUACGGAAGGUGCAAGCGUUAAUCGGAAUUACUGGGCGUAAAGCGCGCGUAGGUGGUUUGUUAAGUUGGAUGUGAAAGCCCUGGGCUCAACCUAGGAACUGCAUCCAAAACUAACUCACUAGAGUACGAUAGAGGGAGGUAGAAUUCAUAGUGUAGCGGUGGAAUGCGUAGAUAUUAUGAAGAAUACCAGUGGCGAAGGCGGCCUCCUGGAUCUGUACUGACACUGAGGUGCGAAAGCGUGGGUAGCGAACAGGAUUAGAUACCCUGGUAGUCCACGCCGUAAACGAUGACAACUAGCUGUUGGGAGACAAUGUCUU
rnacentral:rRNA from 1 species